rnacentral:rRNA from 1 species
AUACGGAGGAUGCAAGCGUUAUCCGGAUUUAUUGGGUUUAAAGGGUGCGUAGGCGGAUGAUUAAGCGUGAGGUGAAAUGCCACUGCUCAACAGUGGAACUGCCUCGCGAACUGGUUGUCUUGAAUGCUCCUGCCGUGGGAGGAAUGUGUGGUGUAGCGGUGAAAUGCAUAGAGAUCACACAGAACACCGAUUGCGAAGGCAUCUCACGAAGGGGUGAUUGACGCUGAGGCACGAAAGCGUGGGGAUCAAACAGGAUUAGAUACCCUGGUAGUCCACGCAGUAAACGAUGAUAACUAACCGCUGGGUCGUAGUGAUUCAGUGGCCAAGCGAAAGCGAUAAGUUAUCCACCUGGGGAGUACGACCGCAAGGUUGAAAAUCAAAUGAAUUGACGGG